AUGGCUUCGGUUUCCUCCUCUCCGCCCCGUCGGAUCGUCGUGCCUGCACCAACCUGCCCAGCUCCCUGGUUGUUUCCCUGGGAGGAUUUCCUGCUCUCACGCGGCCCCCAGUCUCCAGUUCAGCCGCGCGCUGCUCAGUCUCCAGUUCAGCUGCGCGCUGCUCAGUCUCCAGUUCAGCUGCGCGCUGCUCAGUCUCCAGUUCAGCCGCGCGCUGCUCAGUCUCCAGUUCAGCCGCGCGCUGCUCAGUCUCCAGCUCAGCCGCGCGCUGCUCAGUCUCCAGCUCAGCCGUGUGUUGCCCAGACCCCAGUUCAGCCGUGUGUUGCCCAGACCCCAGUUCAGCCGUGUGUUGCCCAGACCCCAGUUCAGCCGUGUGUUACCCAGACCCCAGUUCAGCCGUGUGUUGCCCAGACCCCAGUUCAGUCGUGCUUUCCCCAGUCUCCAGCCCAAGCUCCAGACGCCGCGGUCCCGUUUCACCAUGCGGGUCCCGGUACAGAGGUCCGGUCCACACCGCUCCCAGCGCCUCAAACGACGGACAGUCGCAGCUGCUCCGGACGGCGACGGCGGCGGCGCGGUUCCAGGAUUCCGGGUCCCGCGGUCUCGGUCAUGGGGACCGAGCCGUCUCCUUCUCCGACAGAGGAGCCCCUUGAUUCUCUGACUGACUGUGUCCCUCUGAUAUCAGGCAUCCCAGACAGCGUCGCCCGACGGGUCCACCUCCUCUGUUCUCCUCGAGUUGCGUUUCUCUUCGCCCACCUCAUGAACACCGCCGAUUCGGCAGCAGACCAGGGCGCGAGAGAACAACUGUUCCAGGAGGCAGCCGCUCUCGUCCUGAGGGAGCCUGUCCUGCGUGAGGCCCUGCAACUCCCGGGCCUGCAGCCAGCGGCCGCUUCAUGCUCCACCUCUCAGUCAGUUCAACCUCGCCAUGCUCAUGCCCCGGUGCAGCCCUGUCGUCUCCAGGCCCCAGUCCAGUCGAGCCCAGUCCAGAUCCCAGUUCCGCCCAGUCACGCUCAGUCCUUGUCCCAGUCAGAGGGCACCGUCCGUCUGACGACUGUUAGUCCUCCCCAGUCAGGCCCGACGUCUUCCCCGUCGAGCUCGGCGGCUGUAGGCUGUCAUGCCAGCUCCGGAGUUGACGCCGUUCCAGUCCCUGUUCCUGUUCCUGUCGGCCAUGUUGAGGCCGUUCCAGUCCCUGUCGGCCAUGUUGAGGCCGUUCCAGUCCCUGUCGGCCAUGUUGAGGCUGUUCCAGUCCCUGUCGGCCAUGUUGAGGUCGUUCCAGUCCCUGUCGGCCAUGUUGAGGUCGCUCCAGUCCCUGUCGGCCAUGUUGAGGUCGUUCCAGUCCCUGUCGGCCAAGUUGAGGUCGUUCCAGUUCCUGUCCCUGUCGACCAAGUUGAGGUCGUUCCAGUUCCUGUCCCUGUCGGCCAAGUUGAGGUCGUUCCAGUUCCUGCCCCUGUCGGCCAAGUUGAGGUCGUUCCAGUUCCUGUCCCUGUCGGCCCAGUUGAGGUCGUUCCAGUUCCUGUCUCUGUCGGCCCAGUUGAGGUCGUUCCAGUUCCUGUCUCUGUCGACCAAGUUGAGGUCGUUCCAGUUCCUGUUCCUGUCGGCCAAGUUGAGGUCGUUCCAGUUCCUGUCGACCAAGUUGAGGUCGUUCCAGUUCCUGUCCCUGUCGGCCAAGUUGAGGUCGUUCCAGUUCCUGUCCCUGUCGGCCAAGUUGAGGGCGUUCCCGUGGGCCAAGUUGAGGGCGUUCCCGUGGGCCAAGUUGAGGGCGUUCCCGUGGGCCAAGUUGAGGGCGUUCCCGUAGGCCAAGUUGAGGGCGUUCCCGUAGGCCAAGUUGAGGGCGUUCCCGUAGGCCAAGUAGAGGUCACCCCUGUCUCUGAUCCCGUUCCUGUCGGCCCUGUAGCGGUCGUUCCAGUCCCCGUUCCUGUCGGCCCUGUAGCGGUCGUUCCAGUCCCCGUUCCUGUCGGCCCUGUAGCGGUCGUUCCAGUCCCCGUCACCCUUGGAGCCGCAGCGCCCGCCGGCCCCCAGGAGGAGGCGGCGCCUGCUGCAGUUCCUGCGCACCUCCAGGAGGAGGUCGCGCUAGCCGCAGUUCCUGCGCACCUCCAGGAGGAGGUCGCGCCAGCCGCAGUUCCUGCGCUCCUCCAGGAGGAGGCGGCGCCAGCCGCAGUUCCUGAGCACCUCCAGGAGGAGGUCGCGCUAGCCGCAGUUCCUGCGCACCUCCAGGAGGAGGUCGCGCCAGUCGCAGUUCCUGCGCACCUCCAGGAGGAGGUCGCGCUAGCCGCAGUUCCUGCGCACCUCCAGGAGGAGGUCGCGCCACUUGCAGUUCCUGCGCACCUCCAGGAGGAGGUCGCGCCAGCCGCAGUUCCUGCGCACCUCCAGGAGGAGGUCGCGCCAGCCGCAGUCCCGGCGCACCUCCAGGAGGGGGUCGCGCCAGCCGCAGUCCCGGCGGACCUCCAGGAGGGGGUCGCGCCCGUCGCAGUCCCGGCGGACCUCCAGGAGGGGGUCGCGCCCGUCGCAGUCCCGGCGGACCUCCAGGAGGGGGUCGCGCCCGUCGCAGUCCCGGCGGACCUCCAGGAGGGGGUCGCGCCCGUCGCAGUCCCGGCGGACCUCCAGGAGGGGGUCGCGCCAGCCGCAGUCCCGGCGGACCUCCAGGAGGGGGUCGCGCCCGUCGCAGUCCCGGCGGACCUCCAGGAGGGGGUCGCGCCAGCCGCAGUCCCGGCGGACCUCCAGGAGGGGGUCGCGCCAGCCGCAGUCCCGGCGGACCUCCAGGAGGGGGUCGCGCCCGUCGCAGUCCCGGCGGACCUCCAGGAGGGGGCCGCGCCCGUCGCAGUCCCGGCGGACCUCCAGGAGGGGGUCGCGCCCGUCGCAGUCCCGGCGGACCUCCAGGAGGGGGUCGCGCCCGCCGCAGUCCCGGCGGACCUCCAGGAGGGGGUCGCGCCCGCCGCAGUCCCGGCGGACCUCCAUAGGGGGUCGCGCCGCCGGCAGUCCCGGCGGACCUCCAGGAGGGGGUCGCGCCCGCCGCAGUCCCGGCGGACCUCCAGGAGGGGGUCGUUCCCGUCGUAG
rnacentral:lncRNA from 1 species